rnacentral:rRNA from 1 species
UGAGGAAUAUUGGGCAAUGGGCGCAAGCCUGACCCAGCAACGCCGCGUGAAGGACGAAGGCCUUCGGGUUGUAAACUUCUUUUUGGGGGGAAAAGAGAGGAUGGUACCCCCAGAAUAAGUCACGGCUAACUACGUGCCAGCAGCCGCGGUAAUACGUAGGUGACGAGCGUUAUCCGGAAUUACUGGGCGUAAAGCGCACGCAAGCGGUCUAACAAGUCUGGCGUGAAAUCCUCUGGCUUAACCAGGGGCGGUCGCUGGAGACUGUUAAACUUGAGGCGAUGAGAGGGGUGCAGAAUUCCCGGUGUAGUGGUGGAAUGCGUAGAUAUCGGGGGGAAUACCAGUGGCGAAAGCGGCACCCUGGCGUCGUACUGACGCACAUGUGCGAAAGCGUGGGGAGCGAACGGGAUUAGAUACCCCGGUAGUCCACGCGGUAAACGAUGAACACUAGGUGUGGGUGGAGUCAAUCUGUCCGUGCCAAAGCCAACGCGUUAAGUGUUCCGCCCGGGAAGUACGGCCGCAAGGCUAA